GGCGGAGCAGCCGGUCACUGUAGGAGGAAGCCAAGAUUGUUCUGACUGCUGGCCAGAUGGGCUCUUAGAUGGAAAGCCAGGACAGGGAAGAGGAAGGGGUAAGAAGUCAUGGGAAGCUACAUUUCUCCUCUCUCCCUCUCUCUCUCUCCCUCUCUGUCUAUCCGUCCAUUUGUCCAUCAGUCCAUCUGUCUCUCUCUCUUUCUCUCUCUAUUUUAUAUGCUGACCAUCUAUCUACCCGUCCUCUCUCUCUCUUCAUCAUAUCCAUCCAUUGUUUCUGUCUGUCCAUCUUUCUCUUCUUUUUCUUUUUUUCUUUUUUUCUUUUUUUCUUUCUUUCUUCUUUCUUUCUUUCUUUCUUUCUUUUUCUUUCUUUCUUUCCCUCUUNNNNNNNNNNUCCCAUCCUUCCUUCAUCUAUCCAUCCAUCCAUCCUUUCUUUCUUUCCUUCUUUCUUUCACCUCUCUCCCUCCCUUCUUUCUUUCAUCUAUCUAUCUAAUUUAUAUACUGCCCAUCUAUCCAUCCAUCCAUCCUUUCUGUGUCAUAUUAUUUCAUUCCUUCCUUCCUUCUUUUACAUCCCUCCCUCCCUUCUUUCAUCUAUCUUAUUUAUAUGCUGCCCAUCUAUCUAUCCUUCCAUCCUCUGUGUCAUAUUCUUUCUUUCUUUCUUUCUUUCUUUCUUUCUUUCUUUCUUUCUUUCUUCUUUCUUUCUUUCUUUCUUUCUUUCUUUCUUCUUUCUUUCUUUCUUUUACCUCCCUACCUUCUUUCAUCUCUCUCUCUCUCCCAUCUAUCUGUCUAUCAGCUCAAUCAGUCAAUUUAUCUCUUUACAUCCACCCAUACUUCCUUCCACUCUUUCUCUCCCUUGCAUCCAUCCAUCCUACCUACCUAUCCAUCCAUCCAUCACACUCCCUCACCCCACCCCCCUCAUUACUUUCCAGGGAGAUUAAAACCCAAGCCAGGACCCAGACCAAAAACCAGGCACCUCCAUGGCCUACUCCAUCCACUCACACCCACCUCUCG
rnacentral:lncRNA from 1 species